AACAAAUUAUGUUGUAGUGUAGGAUGUCUGUACCCUUAUUUCCAUCCGUUCUCCUUUGUUAAUGUGUUACUUUUCAAAUGUAUAUGCAAUAUUGUAUCAUGUGUACAUUGAACGAAUUUAAUGAUCUUGAUUAUUUAUUUUUUUCUUGAAGAAAUAUUUGUUUAGUAAGUUAAAUGAUUUUAAAUGGACUGCAAUUUCUUAUUUAUGUAUUUAUAAUUGCACAUACCUGUAAUAUUGUAAGUACUAAGAAAUAUAUUGAACAUAGAAAUACAUGUGUAUUGGUCAUUU
rnacentral:misc_RNA from 1 species